rnacentral:rRNA from 1 species
CGCACGGGUGAGUAACACGUGGAUAAUGUACCCUUGGGCUUGGAAUAACCUACCGAAAGGUGGGCUAAUACCAAAUACGUUUCUUUUUGGUUCGCCUUAAAGAAGGAAAGCGGGGCAACUCGCACCCAUGGAUCAGUCCGCGUCCUAUCAGCUAGUUGGUGAGGUAAUGGCUCACCAAGGCAACGACGGGUAGCUGGUCUGAGAGGACGAUCAGCCACACUGGGACUGGAACACGGCCCAG